rnacentral:lncRNA from 10 species
CACAGACAAAACCACUCAGACACCGGGUUAAGAAGGAAGUGGCUUUAUUUGGCCAGGAGCAUCAGCAGACUUGCAUGUCAAGAACUGAGCUCUCUGAAGAAAGAGUUCCUGGCCCUUUUAAGAACUUACAACUCUAAGGGGUUCACGUGAAAGGGUUGUGAUAGAUUGACAUUCAGAGAUAGCAUAUGUGAUUAGAGGGGGGCUAAUCUUUAACCUCUCUCUUCAUUCCCCCAUUUGAGAACCUUACUCACUAGUGGGAGGUCUCACUCUCAUCUUCACUACCCAGGUCUUUCUGCAAGACAGAUCGACAGUGAUUCAUGUAAUACACUUGUGUAUUACAAGACAUUCAUGUAAUACAUUUGUGCUGAAGUUUUCUGAUGAACCAAGGUAGUAACAAAACUUCUUAGAAGUUGGAGAAAUAUGGGUAACAAACAAAGGAGCAAUAGGAGGGUUGCAGCUGGAGAUCUGGGGAGGAGCUGGUGUUUUUUAGUUUGAGGGUCAUGCAGCUAUAGACCCUGGGAGGAGCAGGAGUUUCUUUAGUUUGAGGGUUGGGCAGCUGCAGAACCCGGGAGAAUCUGAUGUUCUGGUUUGAGGGUCCUGCAGCUGGAGACCCAGAGAGCAGCUGGUGUUUCUUUAGUUUGAUGGCCGUGCAGCUGUAGAACCCAGGGGGAGCUGGUAUUUUUCUAGUAUGAGUGUCCUGCAGCUGGAGACCUGGAGAAGAGCUGAUGUUCUAGUUUGAGGGUCGUGCCGCUGAAGACUCAGGGAGAAGCUGAUGUUCUCGUUUGAGGAUACUGCAGCUGGAGACCUGGAGAGGAGCUGAUGUUAUUCUAGUUUGAGGAUCAUGGAGCUUGAGAUCCACAGAGGAGCAGGUAUUGUUCUAGAUUGAGGUUCAUGUAGCUGAAGACCUGGGGAGCAGCGGGUGUUUUUUAGUUUGAGGGUCAUGCAGCUGUAGAACCCGGGAGGAGCUGGUGUUUUUCUAGUAUGAGUGUCCUGCAGCUGGAGACCUGGAGAGGAGCUGAUGUUGUUCUAGUUUGAGGGUUGUGCAGCUGAAGACUUGGAGGGGAGCUGAUGUUGUUCUUGUUGAGGGUCUUUCAGCUGGAGACCCAGAGAGGAGCUGAUGUGGUUCUAGUUUAAGGGUCAUGGAGCUGGAGACCCAGAGAGGAGCUGGUGUUGUUCUGAUUUGAGGUUCAUGCAGCUGGAGACUUGGAGAGGAGCUGAUGUUGUUCUAGUUUGAGGGUCAGGCAACUGAAGACCCGGGGAGGAGCUGAUGUUGUUCUAGUUUGAGGUUCAUGCAGCUGGAGACCUGGGGAGCAGCGGGUGUUUUUUAGUUUGAGGGUCAUGCAGCUGUAGAACCCGGGAGGAGCUGGCGUUUUUCUAAUAUGAGUAUCCUGCAGCUGGAGACCAGGAGAGUUGCUGAUGUUCUAGUCUGAAGGUCGUGCAGCUGAAGACGGGGGAGGGUUCUAGUUUGAGUGCCCUGCAGCUGAAGACUCGGGAAGGAGCUGAUGUUGUCCUUGUUUUACGAUCUUUCAGCUGGAGACUCAAAGAGGAGCUGAUGUUGUUCUAAUUUGAGUGUAAUGGAGCUGGAGACCCGGGGUGGAGCUGAUGUUGUUCUAGUUUGAGUGUUGUGCAGCUGGAGAUCCAAGAAGGAGGUGGUCUUGUGGUUCAAAUCUGAGGGUCCUGGAGCUGGAAUCUAUGGGAGGAGUCAAUGCUGCCACUGAUGUCUUAGAUUGUGCAGCAGAAGACCCACAGAGGAGCCGGUGUUGGUGUUCUAGUGUGAGGGUGUGGAUCUGGAGAUCCAUGGGGGAGUGACGUUCUUCUAGUUUUUGGGUUGUGGUGCUGGAGACCCAGGGAGGAGCUCAUGGUGUUCUAGUUGAGGGUCGUGGUGCUGGAGACCCAGGGAGGAGUCGAUCCUUCUGUUGUUUAAGUCUGAAGGUCAUCGAGCUGGAGAUCCGGGGAAGAGCUGGAGCAGGUGUUGGUGUUCUAGUGUGAGGGUCAUGGAUCUGGAGAUCCAUGGGGGAGUGGUGUUCUUCUAGUUUGUGGGUUGUGGUGCUGGAGACCCAGGGAGGAGCUGAUUCUUUUGUUGUUUAAGUCUGAAGGUCGUCAAGCUGGAGAUCCGGGGAAGAGCUGGUGCUGCGAUUCAAGUCUGAGGGUCCUGGAGCUUGAGACCCCAGGAGGAGAUGGUGCUGCCACUAAUGUCUUAGAUUGUAAAGCUGGAGAUCUGUGGAGGAGCUGGUGUUUCUGUUCUAGUGUAAGGUUUGUGGAUCUGGAGUCCCAGGGGUGAGCAGUGUUGUUUUAGUUUGAGGGUCAUGGAGUUAGAGACCCGGGGAGGAGCUGAUGUUGUAGUUUGAGGGUCGUGCAGCUGGAGACCCAGGGAGGAGCUGGUGUGUUUCUAGUUGGAGGGUUGUGGAGCUGGAGAUUCAC